GCCGUUGUAGCUCAGGCAGUAGAGCAACGCCAUGGUAAGGCGUAGGUCGACAGUGCAAAUCUGUCCAACGGCUCCG
rnacentral:tRNA from 1 species